rnacentral:miRNA from 1 species
GAUAACGUGAUGACGUCGUAUGCGAACGUGAUGACGAGGAACGAGGAAGCCUUUUCUGGGCGAAACGCGUCAUCACGUUCGCAUACGACGUCAUCACGUUAUC